rnacentral:lncRNA from 1 species
CUCAACUUACCCCCAAAAGAAGAGAAAAGAGUGUGGGUCGGUCAGCGGUCGGCUAAAGAAGACGUGGCCGGAGAAUCGCGCGGCAGUGCAGCGGUUGGAACGAAGGUUGCGCGGCUGGCUUCACGGCGGUUGUGAGCGGCGGACGUGGCGAUUACUGGUUCACACGGCGGCUCGGGCUUCGACGAAGACAGAACCGGCGAUGGAGAUGGCAGAUCGGCGCGCGGGACGACUGCUGCAAGGUUGCUUCGCGAACCGGAGAUGGAGACGACAGAUCGCGGGCUGCGGCUGGGCUGCGGCGGGAAGAAAACGGAAGAGAAAGACGGCUGGCUGCGGCUGGGCUGCGGCGGGAAGGAAACGAAAGGGAAGGGAGAAGGAGACGGUGGAGUCGUCGCGGCGCACGGGAGGAAGGAGAAGAGGGGCGGCGGCU